UACGAAUAUAUGAAUGUUCCAUAUUUGCGUACACAAAGAAAUGCGAAACAUCAUUAAAAACUUCAUACAAACAAUUUUUAAACAUGGCAUUUUUGUAGUUUAUAAAUCAUAUUUCUUAAACAGUUUGAUUUGUUCAGCCAAUUAUCACACAGCUUUAUAAAAAUACACUUAUCCCUUUUUUAGGUAUUUUGGCAUUAAAUGGAUAUCCGAUUCCAGGUGACGUUUAUGCAUGGACUGUCGUUUUCAUAUUACCAAUUAACUCUGCCUGUAAUCCGUUUUUGUAUACAGUGACUGCAAUAAUUGGGAAAAAGAGUUUCAAUCCUAGUAUUGAUGAGCAGAGUAGAACAAUUGUCCAGAAAGAAAGAGGCGAUGCCAUAAUAGAAUAUCAGAAAUUCAGCAGAACUGUUCGAAUGAAACAUGAACAUGUACCAACCGGAACGAUGAGAAGUAUCCAAGAAAUAAUUAAUGACGAGAGACGUUUGUCAGCCAGUAUUGUUGCAGCAGUGUCCAAACAACUUAUCGACUACCUUCGUUUAUUACACGAGUCUUUUAUUGCGAUAGACCAGCUUUGUGAGACAAAUAUUUACAUUGAAGUAAAUAAGGUUAACGAACCAGUUGUUGUUGUUAUUGAUGCAAAACAAUCGAUUGCUACCGACGAAAGAGAUUUACAGGAAAACAUCCUCCAAUUUGGAAACCUUCUACGAAAACUUGUUUCAAAAUGUGAAAAAGGUUUCAAAUAAAGGUUUUUUCAUAGCAAACCAGAAUGCGCUUUGGGUCUGUUACUUAAUUACAAAUUAAGUAAAUUAAGUAAUAUAUAGCAAGCAUAUUACAAUUAAGUUAGAAAAAUCUUCUAUAACUGUAAAUACUGCAAUUUGUCUGUUUUAUCAAUAAAUAUUUGUUGUGUAAGUAUUUAUGAAUUAAAAUAUUAUAUUUUUCUUAUUCAUCUUAUAUUUUGUUUCCAUUCUUAUAUUUUGUUUUCAUGUUCAAGAUAUUUUCAUGUUAUCGUUUAUAUUCAUUAUUAUUUUUGAUUGGUCAACUUGUAAAUUCAAUUGAUUUUUUUUAACUUAUUCAUUUCAUUUCAUCUUUCAAAACAAUGAUACCUUGUUAAGGCUAAACAUUCGGCAUGUGACAAAUAUUUAUAAAAUAUUUCGUGUUGUCAAAUAUUUAUACCUCUAAUUAUAUAGGAAGUAUAUGAUACUUAUGGUACUUAAACCAUAUUUUUAUUAGUCUAAUUAAAAAAGUGUAUUGUUCGGAUGAGUUCAUCAGUUUUGUAUACUCAUAAAAUUUGUUGAUGUCAUUUUAAACAAAUAAAGUCAUUUUUAAUCUUUAAAUUUAUUUGAAAAUCAUGUUGCUGUUAUUUUUUAUUUCUGUAAAUGUUAAUGUAUAUUUUAUUUCGAUAAGAGGUGGCUGUCAACACAGGGAUGACGUAAAAUAAGACCUCGGGUCGCAGUCAUAUUGCUUGAUAAAAUAUUUCUGCAAUAUUAAGUUGAAGGAUGUAUGUUGUUUCCAGGAAUUAGAAGCUAAAACAAUUUAAGCUUUCAUCACAAUCGAACUUAAGGUAGAACGCGACACUUUGCGAACUUUCGAGUAGCGUCUUGAAAAUUGACAUACAAAAAGAUGACCAUAUUUCUGAUUAGAUUCCGUUAAUUUUAUUCCAAUAGUUUCAGCCAAAUUUUGUACACACCAAGUCAAAGUUGACCAUCAAAGCCCGUUUUAAACAUGACGUUGUUGCGUAUCCUUGGUAAUUGUAACUUGUAUUACAAAGCCAUAGGCGCGCAAAAUAUCUUAAUUCUACAGCAUUCCACGGAAAUUUUGUUUCCUUUAGUCUGAAACAAAAUUUGACGUUUUACGCCGAAAAAUCUUUGAAAAAUGGAAAGAAAAUCGUCAAUUUUGUGUUAAAAUUUGACGUUCAGAUUAGACGCAUUUUUUUUGUUGGCUAUAAAGCGGCUUAUCAAAAAAUUCCUGAAAUAAAUGUUUUAUUUUUUCUUUACUUUAAAGGUCCUUUAAAAUGUAUACUCAGUCUUAAUGACUAAAGAAAUAGGGGGUCACCGACUUGUCAAAUACUAUUAAUAGUGACAUUAAUUUACAUAGAUGUUGUUAAAAAAGUUGAAUAUAUGUUAUUUUAAACAUUUUUUUUUAAUUAUAUAUCUAAGUGCUGACACAAUAUUUAUGUAAGUGUGAUGAAAAAAAUGCCAAGUUGAUAGGUUAGACAGUGAACAGUAGGCUGUUAAUAGACAUAGACUGUAUACCUUUUUUCGUGCGUUUACGUCUGCAGAAGCACGAUCUGAGAAUCUAAUGCACAGAAAAAAUGCAUUCGGGCUAUUUGUGCAUUAUGGAAUAAUGCCUCUGUUUCGAUACUACCGAGUUUUGGUAUUUGUUUCACGUAUAAAGAAACUGGUUGCACCAUGCUUUUUACCUACUUGUGAGUUGAGAUUUUACAUUUAUAUUUAAAUAAUUUAACUACAGGGGCGUCAUUGAAGUAAGUUUUUACAUAUAUGAAUAAACGUACAUGUACAUCAACGAUACGUGCCUGUGUGUUCCUGUGUGCGCAGAUUUUAUGAAGAAAAAUGGUGUCGUAUACUGUAAAAAAAAAUUAUUUAUUUAUUUUUUUAAUUUAAUUAUUUUUUUAUUUUCUAUUAUAUUUGAAUUUUUAAGAAAGUUCAUUCUUCAAGUUUGAGAUUGGAAAUAAUAUGGUUAAUAGAUCCCGUAUAUAUAUAUAUAUCCAAAAUGUAAAGUUUAAAACAAUACGGAUAAAAAUAGCGGGAAAAAA